rnacentral:rRNA from 1 species
GUUCAGGAUGAACGCUAGCUACAGGCUUAACACAUGCAAGUCGAGGGGCAUCAGGAAGAAAGCUUGCUUUCUUUGCUGGCGACCGGCGCACGGGUGAGUAACACGUAUCCAACCUGCCCUUUACUCGGGGAUAGCCUUUCGAAAGAAAGAUUAAUACCCGAUAGCAUAAUGAUUCCGCAUGGUUUCAUUAUUAAAGGAUUCCGGUAAAGGAUGGGGAUGCGUUCCAUUAGGUUGUUGGUGAGGUAACGGCCCACCAAGCCUUCGAUGGAUAGGGGUUCUGAGAGGAAGGUCCCCCACAUUGGAACUGAGACACGGUCCAAACUCCUACGGGAGGCAGCAGUGAGGAAUAUUGGUCAAUGGGCGCUAGCCUGAACCAGCCAAGUAGCGUGAAGGAUGAAGGCUCUAUGGGUCGUAAACUUCUUUUAUAUAAGAAUAAAGUGCAGUAUGUAUACUGUUUUGUAUGUAUUAUAUGAAUAAGGAUCGGCUAACUCCGUGCCAGCAGCCGCGGUAAUACGGAGGAUCCGAGCGUUAUCCGGAUUUAUUGGGUUUAAAGGGAGCGUAGGUGGACUGGUAAGUCAGUUGUGAAAGUUUGCGGCUCAACCGUAAAAUUGCAGUUGAUACUGUCAGUCUUGAGUACAGUAGAGGUGGGCGGAAUUCGUGGUGUAGCGGUGAAAUGCUUAGAUAUCACGAAGAACUCCGAUUGCGAAGGCAGCUCACUGGACUGCAACUGACACUGAUGCUCGAAAGUGUGGGUAUCAAACAGGAUUAGAUACCCUGGUAGUCCACACAGUAAACGAUGAAUACUCGCUGUUUGCGAUAUACAGUAAGCGGCCAAGCGAAAGCAUUAAGUAUUCCACCUGGGGAGUACGCCGGCAACGGUGAAACUCAAAGGAAUUGACGGGGGCCCGCACAAGCGGAGGAACAUGUGGUUUAAUUCGAUGAUACGCGAGGAACCUUACCCGGGCUUAAAUUGCAGUGGAAUGAUGUGGAAACAUGUCAGUGAGCAAUCACCGCUGUGAAGGUGCUGCAUGGUUGUCGUCAGCUCGUGCCGUGAGGUGUCGGCUUAAGUGCCAUAACGAGCGCAACCCUUAUCUUUAGUUACUAACAGGUUAUGCUGAGGACUCUAGAGAGACUGCCGUCGUAAGAUGUGAGGAAGGUGAGGAUGACGUCAAAUCAGCACGGCCCUUACGUCCGGGGCUACACACGUGUUACAAUGGGGGGUACAGAAGGCAGCUAGCGGGUGACCGUAUGCUAAUCCCAAAAUCCUCUCUCAGUUCGGAUCGAAGUCUGCAACCCGACUUCGUGAAGCUGGAUUCGCUAGUAAUCGCGCAUCAGCCACGGCGCGGUGAAUACGUUCCCGGGCCUUGUACACACCGCCCGUCAAGCCAUGGGAGCCGGGGGUACCUGAAGUACGUAACCGCAAGGAUCGUCCUAGGGUAAAAC